ensembl:lncRNA
UUUCUUCAAUUUGUGGCAUUCGACAUGCCAUUUUCCUUGAGGACAUUUCGCACUGUUGUACUUCCAUACCACAGCUAUCGACUGCGUGACCUGGGAAGCGUAGACCCCGUCUGAAGGCCGUGCUGUAUUCUGGGAAAUGGAGUAGUCCAUUCUGGUGUUGACGUGAAAGUUUAAGUAUAAAAUCUCAUUAUGUCAAUUAUAUAAGUGUCUUUCACGAUCACGUUUGUGAUCAGAAAAGGAAACGUGGCGUCAUGCCGUUUCGAUCCCGAAUCGAACAUGAGUCCACGAGUACGAGCUGUGAUAUCUUUCUAAACAGAGAUAUGAAUGGAAACGUAAAUAAAUAAAUAAAUAAAAAUCGAGGCUGAAGGUCAUCUAGAGUCUGGGAUUUGUGGUUCGAGCAAUUUUUGAGAGAGUUUAUGCUUGCAAUACGGUAUGCUUUCCUGCAUUUCCACUCGACUACGCCUGGGAAAUUGCUGUAUGCUGUAUGCGCAGUUCCAUGCGGACGUCAGCCUUACCUUUUUUUAAGCUCUUAGCAAAAGAAAAACAAAAGAAAAACCCUUUUUAAGUUGUCCGUUUAUGUCUGUAUUUUACUGCGUUAAUGUGCCGUACUAGAACUCAUGAGGAAAAUGCCAUGUUUAUCCAUCACAUAUGAGGUGUGCACUAUACUAAAAUGACAUUUUCAACCAGCCGUAUUUCAAAGAGGGUUCAAAAACCUUUUUUUUUUUUCUUUUUCUCCUUUUACUUUAUAUUAACAAUAAGCGCUUUGCGAAAAGAUGGACAGAUGUCUGAGAAAUGUCUGCAUUUUCAAUUCAUAAGGGCUAUAUUUAGGAAGUCGGGACGCUUCAGUGCUGCGAAACGUAACGUUUUCAAGGUUAAGUUCGUAUCAUAUAAUAAUUACUGAUACGAAUAAACUUUGUGUGCAAAGCUAAAUGAUGUCCAUGCUAAUUAUGAUCAACAACGCACCUCCCUUCUUUGCUCUGGACGACCAUAAUAACGUGUUACGGACGCGACCGUUACGGACGCUGCGUGUUAAAUCAUAAGCGUGCGUAUCACCGGCGCGCGUUGGUUUAGCAUGAUGUUGCUGUUCGAUGACUGAGUUAUAUUACUGCGAUCUGUUUCUGGCUUACUGUGUAUCGGGAUAUUUUGUAAAUGUGAUUGAUUCGUUUAUUCUAGUAACAUUUUAGACAUUGCAUUCUAACAACGAGAACACCACGGGGAUUUAGAGAUCGCUACUGUCUUAUCGCUCUUAUAGUAUUUGAAUAAAUAGAGAGAGAGAGAGAGAGAGAGGGAGAUUGAGAGAGUGAGGCAGAGAGAU